AAUUUGAGUGUUCAAAGCAGGCCUUUGCUCGGAUAUAUUAGCAUGGAAUAAUAGAAUAGGACGCAUGGUUCUAUUUUGUUGGUUUCUAGGACCAUCGUAAUGAUUAAUAGGGACGGUCGGGGGCAUCAGUAUUCAGUCGUCAGAGGUGAAAUUCUUGGAUUGACUGAAGACUAACUACUGCGAAAGCAUUUGCCAAGGACGUUUUCAUUAAUCAAGAACGAAAGUUAGGGGAUCGAAGAUGAUCAGAUACCGUCGUAGUCUUAACCAUAAACUAUGCCGACUAGGGAUCGGGUGGUGCUACUUUGCCCACUCGGCACCUUACGAGAAAUCAAAGUUUUUGGGUUCUGGGGGGAGUAUGGUCGCAAGGCUGAAACUUAAAGGAAUUGACGGAAGGGCACCACCAGGAGUGGAGCCUGCGGCUUAAUUUGACUCAACACGGGGAAACUCACCAGGUCCAGACGUAAUAAGGAUUGACAAGUUAGAGACUUCUCUUGAUCUUACGGGUGGUGGUGCAUGGCCGUUUUUAGUCCUUGGAGUGAUUUGUCUGCUUAAUUGCGAUAACGGACGAGACCUUAACCUGCUAAAUAGGGCUGCGAGCAUCUGCUCGGGUGCUCUUCUUAGAGGGACUAUGGGUAUCAAACCCAUGGAAGUUUGAGGCAACAACAGGUCUGUGAUGCCCUUAGACGUUCUGGGCCGCACGCGCGCUACACUGACGGAGCCAGCAAGUCCAACCUUGGUCGAGAGGCCCGGGUAAUCUCGUGAAACUCCGUCGUGCUGGGGAUAGAGCAUUGUAAUUUUUGCUCUUCAACGAGGAAUUCCUAGUAAGCGCAAGUCAUCAGCUUGCGUUGAUUACGUCCCUGCCCUUUGUACACACCGCCCGUCGCUACUACCGAUUGAAUGGCUUAGUGAGGCUUCAAGAUUGGCGCCGCGGGAGGGGCAACUUUCCCAUGGGGCCGAGAAUCUAGUCAAACUUGGUCAUUUAGAGGUCGUAAAAGUCGUAACAAGGUUUCCGUAGGUGAACCUGCGGAAG
rnacentral:rRNA from 1 species